rnacentral:tRNA from 1 species
GCCCCGGUAGCUAAGCCUGGUUAUAGCGGCAGCCUCGUAAGUUGCAGGUCGCGGGUUCAAAUCCCGCCCGGGGCU